GACGAACGCUGGCGGCGUGCUUAACACAUGCAAGUCGAGCGGUAAGGCCCUUUCGGGGGUACACGAGCGGCGAACGGGUGAGUAACACGUGGGUGACCUGCCCUCAGCUCUGGGAUAAGCCCGGGAAACUGGGUCUAAUACCGGAUAUGACUUCACGACGCAUGUUGUGGGGUGGAAAGCCUUGUGCGGCUGAGGAUGGGCCCGCGGCCUAUCAGCUUGUUGGUGGGGUGAUGGCCUACCAAGGCGACGACGGGUAGCCGGCCUGAGAGGGCGACCGGCCACACUGGGACUGAGAUACGGCCCAGACUCCUACGGGAGGCAGCAGUGGGGAAUCUUGCGCAAUGGGCGAAAGCCUGACGCAGCGACGCCGCGUGAGGAUGACGGCC
rnacentral:rRNA from 1 species